UAGCACUUUAUAAACUUAACUACGAUA
rnacentral:sRNA from 1 species